ACGGGAGGCAGCAGUGGGGAAUAUUGCACAAUGGGCGCAAGCCUGAUGCAGCGACGCCGCGUGAGCGAUGAAGUAUUUCGGUAUGUAAAGCUCUAUCAGCAGGGAAGAAAAUGACGGUACCUGACUAAGAAGCCCCGGCUAACUACGUGCCAGCAGCCGCGGUAAUACGUAGGGGGCAAGCGUUAUCCGGAUUUACUGGGUGUAAAGGGAGCGUAGACGGCGAUGCAAGUCUGAAGUGAAAGCCCGGGGCUCAACCCCGGGACUGCUUUGGAAACUGUGUUGCUAGAGUGCGGGAGAGGUAAGCGGAAUUCCUAGUGUAGCGGUGAAAUGCGUAGAUAUUAGGAGGAACACCGGUGGCGAAGGCGGCUUACUGGACUGUAACUGACGUUGAGGCUCGAAAGCGUGGGGAGCAAACAGGAUUAGAUACCCUGGUA
rnacentral:rRNA from 1 species